GAGGGCAGGUGGACAAGGGCAGGAGGAAUCAGAGUAUGGAAAGAGAACAUUGAGAGAUGAGAGACGGGAGAUGUAGCAUUGAAGGACAGCUUUAAGGACUCUUUGUCAUGCGUACUCCUGGAUUUAAGUGAGAACAGUGAGUGUGAAGAAGGGCAAAAGAAGAUGAGAACUUACACAAGGCAAUAUGUAAAAUAAGAGGCAUUAGAAUCUAAACUGUAGAAGGAAGGAUGUGAGUAUCUGAGGCAGAUGAUGGACAAAGGAAACGUGACAGGAGCAGUGGAUUUGCCAGCUCAGUGAGGCAGAAGUAUUAUGGGAAUGAGGCCUGACGGGAGGUGAUAGGUGCUUUGCACGUAUAGGAUGUGGUGUUUGCAAAGUGAGAUGCUUAAAAUUAAGAUCAUGGAAGCAGCACAGUGACUUACACUAACAUUCUAAGAGAGGUGUUCCUGGGAGUUAACAGCUGACCUGGCCUGGAAGACAAGUUUCACUGGAGGAGUAAGAGGGCAUGAAUGGAAGGCUACAGAGGAAGGUGCACCGUGAGGCAGGAGGGGUCACCGUAGUCUGGAAGCAGCACUGAGGAGGAAAAACUUAACGCCACCC